CAUCCUAAUGCUUGGUGUGUUUACCAAAACACACUGUCCCUAAUGCUUGUAAUAAACACUAGAUAUUCAGAGGUAAUAAUUUAUUACAUUUAAUUCAGUAGAAUGUGAAAUCAGUAUUGACCACAUCAAGCAUUUUACACAGGUUUCUGUAAUGUCAACCUAGAAUGAAUUCUCAGUUGUAUGUUUUACCUUUUCUGCUGACUGGUUUACAAUGGAUGACUGCAACUGUGUCAUUGAAUAUUGCAUAAAGAACAAAUAAGGUGUAAGGCAGAAACAAAUAUCACCUAAUACUAAUGACUACUGCAAACAUAUUGUACGCAUUACGUUCCUGAGGUAGAGAGAGACUCAACACCACUACAAAAUUAGACGGUUCAAUUGUUAUGAAUAUUGCUAUGACAAUCCAAUUUUAAUUUCAGUUUAGUUACAUGUUUAAUGUUUGUCUGAAAAUACUUUACAUUGAUCCAAGUAUUACACUUUUUAAAAAGUUUACAUUUCAAGACUGUUAUGAGGCACAGACAGUAGCAUCCAGGUCAGGGGUUAGGUAGUGUCAGGGGGUAGGUAGGGUCAGGGGGUAGGCAGGGUCAGGGGGUAGGUAGGGUCAGGGGUUAGGUAGGGUCAGGGGUUAGGUAGGGUCAGGGGUUAGGUAGGGUCAGGGGUUAGGUAGGGUAAGUGGGUAGGGUAAGUGGGUAGGCAGAGUCAGGGGGUGGGCAGGGUCAGGGGUUAGGUAGGGUCAGGGGGUAGACAGGAUAAAGAGGGGUAUAUAUCUGUGCAGCAGGCGAGGCCAGUGUCAGGGUGUAGGUAAGGUCAUAGGUGAGGCUCCUUCUUCAUCAGGAGACUCCUGUCCUGGCAGCCUCAAGUCCUGACAGACUCCUGUCCUUCCUGGCAGACCGCUGUCCUUCCUGGCAGACCUCUGUCCUUCCUGACAGACCGCUGUCCUUCCUGGCAGACCGCUGUCCUUCCUGGCAGACUGCUGUCCUUCCUGGCAGACUGCUGUCCUUCCUGGCAGACUGCUGUCCUUCCUGGCAGACUGCUGUCCUUCCUGGCAGACUCCCUCCCAUUCACCCCCCAGACACCUUUCUGUUUCUACUGUUCCCAAAGAAAAUGUUCUUCCCAUUGUUGUUGUUCCCAAUUUUGAAAAGAUUUGGUUUCAGAUCCUCAAAAAAAUGUAUCCAGCUGCAUCAUUGAGAGCAUCUUGACUGACUGCAUCACUGCUUGGUACGGUAAGUGCAUCACUGUCGACCGCAUGGCGCUACAGAUGGUGGUGCGGACAGCCCAGUACAGCACUGGGGUCGAGUUCCUUUCCAUUCAGUACCUCCAUAUCAAAACGGUGGGAAAGGAAGACAUGGAAAUAUGUCUAAGACUCAAGCAACUGUUCUCUCUGCUACCGAAUGGCAAGAGGUACCGGAGCACCAAGUCUGAUACCAACAGGCUCCUGAACAGCUUCUACCCCCAAGCCAUCAGACUGCUGAACAGCUUCUACCUCCAAGCCAUCAGACUGCUGAACAGCUUCUACCCCAAAGCCAUCAGACUGCUGAACAGCUUCUACCCCCAAGCCAUCAGACUGCUGAACAGCUUCUAUCCCGAAGCCAUCAGACUGCUGAACAGCUUCUAUCCCCAACCCAUCAGACUGCUAAACAGCUUCUACCCCCAAGUCAUCAGACUGCUGAA
ensembl:lncRNA